GCUAGAGUCUACGCUACUGGUACAAGAAUUCUACAAGUUUUAUCGUUUGUUUUAAAUAUUGAGUUUCAGCUGAGGCAGAAGACUGUUUGAAUAAUGUUAACAGUCAAAUUUCAAAUGUGUGCUGUUGAAUUCACAGAAUGUUCUACCAUUCUCCUGCAUAACACAUUUUCAAGUGUGUGCAUGGUUCUUAUUUAUUUUUUUAACUUGCAGUGUCUUCUAUUCCUCUACAUUUUACACCAAAAGCCAGUACUUUGGUUCAGAAUGGUUUAAAAGAGGCGUCCAAAGAAUAAUCCCACCCACUGCUCAACUACCACCCCUGUUUGUUACAGACCCAAUGCCCUUGGCUGAUGGAGGAACUGCAUCUGGAGGACGACCAUGAAUCUACCUGCCAACAGGUGGUACUGGUUUGCACUGGUUUGCAUGAACUGAACAUGGUGGACAUGAGGCAAAUUCCCUGCUUUUUGCUCCAGACCAGGACUCUGUGAUGGAGGGGUGGUGAUGGAGCCGUGCUGAGGACCCGCUGGUGAAGGACGUCCCUCGGUGGGGGGGCAAGGACAGCCGACCCUGAGGAUCCGCUCGGAUUUACGAUCGCUACGAUGCGACUGCAGAGGUCUCUGGAAGACCAGGAGUCCUUGCCUGAGGAGAGCUGAUGGAGGAGCCGUGCACCUGGAGAACCAUGAGUCUGCCUGCCAACAAGUAGUACUGGAAGGCGGGGCAUAGGGAGGUGAUGGAGGACCUGCCUGGUGAAGGACGUCAGGGUGGGGCGAGUGACACCCGACUCCAAGGGGAUAUCCACUGAGGAGAGAGCUGAAGGAGCCAUGCAUCUGGAAGGUGCAGUUGAAAUGCUGUGUCCAGUCUGGGACACACACCUGAGCUGCGUC